AUUGAACGCUGGCGGCAUGCCUUACACAUGCAAGUCGAACGGCAGCGCGGGGGCAACCCUGGCGGCGAGUGGCGAACGGGUGAGUAAAGUAUCGGAACGUGCCCUAAAGUGGGGGAUAACGUAGCGAAAGUUACGCUAAUACCGCAUAAGAUCUAAGGAUGAAAGCGGGGGAUCGCAAGACCUCGUUCUUUAGGAGUGGCCGAUAACUGAUUAGCUAGUUGGUGGGGUAAAGGCUCACCAAGGCGACGAUCAGUAGCUGGUCUGAGAGGACGACCAGCCACACUGGGACUGGGACACGGCCCAGACUCCUACGGGAGGCAGCAGUGGGGAAUUUUGGACAAUGGGGGCAAACCUGAUCCAGCAAUGCCGCGUGUGUGAAGAAGGCCUUCGGGUUGUAAAGCACUUUUGUUCGGGACGAAACGGUUUGGGCUAAUACCCUGAGCUAAUGACGGUACCGAAAGAAUAAGCACCGGCUAACUACGUGCCAGCCGCCGCCGUAA
rnacentral:rRNA from 1 species